rnacentral:ncRNA from 1 species
AGAAGAACUCGUAGAGCGCGAGUUCCGGGGAAAAAAGAAAGCUCACUGAGA